rnacentral:rRNA from 1 species
AUUGAACGCUGGCGGCAUGCCUUACACAUGCAAGUCGAACGGUAACAGGUCUUCGGACGCUGACGAGUGGCGAACGGGUGAGUAAUACAUCGGAACGUGCCCAGUCGUGGGGGAUAACUACUCGAAAGAGUAGCUAAUACCGCAUACGAUCUGAGGAUGAAAGCGGGGGACCUUCGGGCCUCGCGCGAUUGGAGCGGCCGAUGGCAGAUUAGGUAGUUGGUGGGAUAAAAGCUUACCAAGCCGACGAUCUGUAGCUGGUCUGAGAGGACGACCAGACACACUGGGACGGAGACACGGCCCAGACUCCUACGGGAGGCAGCAGUGGGGAAGUUUGGAGAAUGGGCGAAAGCCUGAUCCAGCAAUGCCGCGUGCAGGAUGAAGGCCUUCGGGUUGUAAACUGCUUUUGUACGGAACGAAAAAGCUCCUUCUAAUACAGGGGGCCCAUGACGGUACCGUAAGAAUAAGCACCGGCUAACUACGUGCCAGCCGCCGCCGUA